GAUGAACGCUAGCGGCAGGCUUAACACAUGCAAGUCGAGGGGCAGCACGUCUUCGGAUGGUGGCGACCGGCGCACGGGUGCGUAACGCGUAUACAACCUACCUUAUAGAGGGGAAUAGCACAGAGAAAUUUGGAUUAAUGCCCCAUAGUAUUAUUGAAUAGCAUUAUUUAAUGAUUAAACAUUUAUGGCUAUAAGAUGGGUAUGCGUUCUAUUAGCUAGAUGGUAAGGUAACGGCUUACCAUGGCGACGAUAGAUAGGGGUCCUGAGAGGGAGAUCCCCCACACUGGUACUGAGACACGGACCAGACUCCUACGGGAGGCAGCAGUGAGGAAUAUUGGACAAUGGGCGAGAGCCUGAUCCAGCCAUGCCGCGUGCAGGAAGACGGCCCUAUGGGUUGUAAACUGCUUUUAUACGGGAAGAAACACUCCUUCGUGAAGGAGCUUGACGGUACCGUAAGAAUAAGGAUCGGCUAACUCCGUGCAGCAGCCGC
rnacentral:rRNA from 1 species